rnacentral:tRNA from 1 species
AUUUAAAUAGUUUAUAAAAAUAAUGAUUUGUGGUAUCAUAGAUAUGAAUUAUAUUCAUUCAUUUUAAAUC